GUUUAUUUCGUGCUAUAAACUCCAUUAAAAUCAAUAAUAAAACACUAACAAACUCAGUUUAAACCUAUACACGAAUUCAGUCAAAAUCUAUGUGGAGUUUAUAAAAUUCAGUCAAACUCAAUUAAAUUUCAAUUAAACUCCAUCAACUUUAAAACUCUUUUAAAAUCAUUUAAAAUCUAAAAUUGUAUUAAAUUGAAUCUCUCAAAAGUAUUUCCCAAAUCUCUUAACAAAUAUAGAAUAUGUCAACGGCGUGACAAAUUGUAUUUAUAGUCGACAUACCCACCCAGGCCAGUGGCUGAGAAUUCCCAUUGUGAUUCAAAUCCAAAUCAACAAGAUCUGAAAACAAGAUGACCAGACUGGGCCACAGCCACAUUAAACCGUUGACAACUGCGUUUACUUGAGCUGUCACCAUUUCAUCUCCAUAAGACUACAAAGACUUCACAGCUUUGAAUUUUCUUUCAAUUAAGAUUGUUAUUAUUUCUUCAAUUUUUCCAUUUUUAAUUAGAAAUUUAAUUUUCCAAUUGAAGAGAAACAAGAUUCCCAGAUAGCCCAAUUUCCAUCCACCCAGUUGGCCUCCAUUUUAUCAUAUGAGAAAAGCCCCAUCAUAAUCCGCAGUUCGUCCUAGGGGUGGGCACGGUUCGGUUUGGACCGGUUUUUGCCUAAAAUUAGAACCGAUCCGGUACUAUUCAUCCGGUUUGGUUCGGUUCGGUUUUAAUAAAAAAAAUUUCAAAAACUGUCCGGUUCGGUUUGAACCGGUUUCGAUCCGGUUCCGGUUUCGGUUCGGUUUUGAACCGGAUUAUAAAAAUUAUUUUUUUAAAUUAUUUUUUAAUACAAUUCUCAACUGAAAUAUUAUUUUUUUACUUGAAAAUUAACAAAUUACUCAAUUUCAUAUAAAAAAUAAAUAUUAAAGUAAGAAAAGAGAGAUAUUUUGACAUUGAACUUGAAUAAAUAUUAGGUUUUUUUUAGUGAAAUUAAAAAUAUAGCAUUAAAUAUAAAUAUAUAUUGAAAUUAUAUAUUUUUUUAGUUUCACCGGUUCGGUUCGGCCCGGUUCGGUUUUUGAAGACAUGGAACCGGAUCCGGAACCGGUCCAAACCAGUCCGGUUCGGUUUUUGACCGGUUUUUGACUUUUUGGUCAACUCGGUUUUUUUCCGGUUUGGUUCGGUACGGUUCGGCUCGGAUUUCCGGUUUGCCGGUUUGAGUGCCCACCCCUAGUUCGUCCCUCUGUACACUACCAAAAUUAUUUUCACUACAACUUAAAAAGGCCCCAAAUAAAAAAAGGAAAUUGACGGAAAUUUAAUUAACAGAAUUCAUGCUGCUUUUGGGCUAAUUCCAAGCUUUUGGUUCC
rnacentral:lncRNA from 1 species